CUCAGAUGAGGGGCUGCUCAGAGGUUCUGGGAAGUGCAUUGUGGGUGCCCUAUGGGGCUGUGCUGAUGUGGACCCACCCUUUAUGCCUUCCCCACCCAGAAUUUCUGAACAAAUUGGAAGGCAGAAAUUGACUGUGGCAGAAGAAAAAGGUGAGAAAGUUUGAAGUAAAAGCCAGCCUUGUUGAUGCUAUAGCAUCAGUGAAGAAGAAGAGCAGAAAACAGUCCCUUCACCAUGGGACAGGCACUGUUGGUGACUGUCACUCACCUGAGAAAGCUUGAAGACCUCUCUGAUCCUGCACAUCCUUCUGCUGAUGACACUGUGUCACAUGGUGGUGUCCCUUCCCCGGGGGCUGCUCUCACCGGUGGCAUCACCUCAGUGCUCUGACUCUGCCAGUGGCCCCACCCUUAUUCCUGAAGACAAAUGAAUGUCUCCCAUCGUCACAUCCCUUGGCUGAGGGGCCCAGAAGGAUACUCUCCAGGAUACUCAACCUUAUCCAGCCACCUGCACGUUUCUCUUAGUUACUUUGUUACUCAGUCAAAAUACUCAACAUUCAAAAGUUAAAGGAGAACAGGUUUAUAUCAGCUCAGAGUUUGUAGAGGUUUCAGACAGUCAGCUGGCUCUGGGGCAGAGUGACCUCACAGAGGAGAAACAGUCCAUGGCAUGGCAGGAAAUAGGCAGCAAGCAGCAGCAGUAGAAAACCCCUUUUUAUCUCUUAUAUCAUCCAGGCUACAAUGCUUUUGUCUAGUGCCACACACACCCUUAUUCUGUCUUCCCGUUAUCACAUCCAGAAUUGUGACAUAACAAUCGGACUAACGCAGUACCACCGACACUUAAUGUCAAUAACCUGCACCUUAGAUCAGUGAUGAUAAACCUUCUAGAGACUAGUGCCUGAAGUGAAAACCAAAAUCAUAUUUAUUUCAGUAUGCCCACCCGACAUUUAAACAUGAACACUGAGGUUUUGGCUUAGAAAAAUCAACUCAUACAUUCACAUCUUUUGUCUUAAAAGCAAAGCAACACACAGCCCACUACCAGUGUCCCAGAUCUAUUCACUUCUGAAAAGCCCCAUCCAAUGAGUGCCUGAGGCUUUGUUCAGACAUCUAGAUAACAACCCCUGACCUGUGACUCUAUCCCUAGGCAUAUGUCUAGAGCUAUAUCUAGUGUUCAGUGAUGGUUAGGGUUAAGGCUGUGAUUAGGUUGAGGGUUAAGCUUAGUUUGACAGUGUUAGUAAUUGGUCCAAGGAUAGGGAUAGGCUAUAUCCCAUGCUAGGGUUAGGGUAAUACUAGGGUUUCACAAGGGUUAGGGUUAGAAUUAAUUUUACAGCUAUUUCAGGACUAGUGUUAGGGUUAGGGUUAGGGAUAUGGA